rnacentral:lncRNA from 1 species
AUUUUCUUCCUCUUUCUCCCACAUCUUCCCCAUUUCUCUCCCUCUCUCCUCCAUUUCUUGUCCCUCACUUUCUCCUUGUCCUGCUGUCCCCAGAGCUCGCCUCUCCCUGAGACUGAGAACACGUCACUAUGUCAUGAUUAACCGGCCCAUGGGAACAGAAGCGCAGGGCCUUUCUCUGUUGAGACUUGGAGUGGAGACAUUUUUCAGGGGGCUUUGAGACCUUGGGAAAACCUCCUUUUCCUUCCCUCCUGUGAGCUUCACGCUAUCAGGGGAUGCAAGUCAGAUUCCUGGUCCUGGGCUCUCCUUCCUCUCAGAUGGUGGCAUGGAUAGGCUGAGAGCCUCUGCUACAGGAGACCUCACUACAGGAGACCUUUGCAGUUACCUAGCUAUGUGCCUAGGACUAAUAUACAGCAAUAUUAGUUACCGCUAAUACUUGAUAAUAUGUUUGUUACAUGUUUAUUUUAAAGGGAACUCUUAGCUUCCUCAGGGGUUCCAAGAGAAAUCAAGUGCACUCUGGAUGGAGAAUGGCAAGAAGACGCAGGAAAAAAAACAAAAACAAAAACAGCAGAUUGAAAACAAAGAUGGCUGCUCCAGGCACCCUGGUGCCCAGGCCCUGGGAACAAGCCUGGGUUCUCUGGGACCAGGCAACCAAGUGCUUCUAUUCCAGCUACUCAAGUGGUCUUGACAAUAUGUGCUUGCUGGUAAAAAAAUACCAGAGGCUCAGGUUAAAUGAGAGAAGGUUAUUAUUUUAUCUAGGAAACAAAGACUUUUAAUAUAGGUAUUUCCCAAAUUCUGUGUGGGACAUAUAUCUAUACUAAAAAAAAAAAGUUAAAAAAAAGAAAGAAAAGGCGUUCUUUGUUGACGACCUCCACAGCUAGCUGAAUAUCCCAUCUUCCUUUCAUCCCUCCAUCCCACACACUGACUGGGGCGAAGCCAUCCCUAAAGUUUUCUUUUCUCGUCUUUAUUUCCACUUUUUAAAAAAUGGUUAACCCACAUUUCUAGAGACUUCACCAGCCCACUGAUGCAAAUUAGCUCACUUAAAAAAAAAAAAAAAAUCAAUGUCUCUGGCUGGUUUUCUCACACAGGACUUUGUCCCCAGCAGCCAUAUCCUUCGAGCUCACUGCACAGCGCCCUCUAGGCCUUGGGAGGCUGCUGAGAGUCCUGCCCUUGGGAGCAGAAGCAGAGGCUGAGCCCUGGCGCCCUCUACUGGUAAGCUCCAGAUGACGACCAUGGGAGAUGCCCAGGGCAUGGCAGGCUCAACCAGCAAUCCUUCAGAGUCUUUUCUGAUGACAGCCGCAGAUGGCCUUGCCACCGCCGCGUCUGCACCCCCUUCCUUGUGGGCCCCUUUCUGGUUACAUAUAUUACCUGCGAAGAGGUAACAUUCAGUCCC